rnacentral:rRNA from 1 species
AUGAACGCUGGCGGCGUGCCUAAUACAUGCAAGUCGAGCGAACGGACGAGAAGCUUGCUUCUCUGAUGUUAGCGGCGGACGGGUGAGUAACACGUGGAUAACCUACCUAUAAGACUGGGAUAACUUCGGGAAACCGGAGCUAAUACCGGAUAAUAUUUUGAACCGCAUGGUUCAAAAGUGAAAGACGGUCUUGCUGUCACUUAUAGAUGGAUCCGCGCUGCAUUAGCUAGUUGGUAAGGUAACGGCUUACCAAGGCAACGAUGCAUAGCCGACCUGAGAGGGUGAUCGGCCACACUGGAACUGAGACACGGUCCAGACUCCUACGGGAGGCAGCAGUAGGGAAACUUCCGCAAUGGGCGAAAGCCUGACGGAGCAACGCCGCGUGAGUGAUGAAGGUCUUCGGAUCGUAAAACUCUGUUAUUAGGGAAGAACAUAUGUGUAAGUAACUGUGCACAUCUUGACGGUACCUAAUCAGAAAGCCACGGCUAACUACGUG